rnacentral:rRNA from 1 species
UACGUAGGGUCCGAGCGUUGUCCGGAAUUACUGGGCGUAAAGAGCUCGUAGGUGGUUUGUCGCGUUGUCCGUGAAAACUCACAGCUCAACUGUGGGCGUGCGGGCGAUACGGGCAGACUGGAGUACUGCAGGGGAGACUGGAAUUCCUGGUGUAGCGGUGGAAUGCGCAGAUAUCAGGAGGAACACCGGUGGCGAAGGCGGGUCUCUGGACCGUAACUGACGCUGAGGCGCGAAAGCGUGGGGAGCAAACAGG